GGAAGUAAAAGUCGUAACAAGGUCUCCGUUGGUGAACCAGCGGAGGGAUCAUUACCGAGUUUUCAACUCCCUAACCCUUCUGUGAACCUACCUAUCGUUGCUUCGGCGGACUCGCCCCAGCCCGGACGCGGACUGGACCAGCGGCCCGCCGGGGACCUCAAACUCUUGUAUUCCAGCAUCUUCUGAAUACGCCGCAAGGCAAAACAAAUGAAUCAAAACUUUCAACAACGGAUCUCUUGGCUCUGGCAUCGAUGAAGAACGCAGGAAACGCGAUAAGUAAUGUGAAUUGCAGAAUCCAGUGAAUCAUCGAAUCUUUAACGCACAUUGCGCCCGCCAGCAUUCUGGCGGGCAUGCCUGUUCGAGCGUCAUUUCAACCCUCGACCUCCCCUUGGGGAGGUCGGCGUUGGGGACCGGCAGCACACCGCCGGCCCUGAAAUGGAGUGGCGGCCCGUCCGCGGCGACCUCUGCGCAGUAAUACAGCUCGCACCGGAACCCCGACGCGGCCACGCCGUAAAACACCCAACUCUGAACGUUGACCUCGAAUCAGGUAGGACUACCCGCUGAACUUAAGCAUAUCAAUAAGCGGAGGA
rnacentral:rRNA from 1 species